rnacentral:tRNA from 1 species
ACCUAGUUGGCUCAGUCAGUGGAGCAUGUGACUUUUGACCUUAUGGUUGUGGGUUCCAGCCCUACCUUGGGUG